UACGUAGGGGGCUAGCGUUGUCCGGAUUUAUUGGGCGUAAAGAGCGUGUAGGCGGCCAGGUAGGUCUGCUGUGAAAACUCGAGGCUCAACCUCGAGACGUCGGCGGAAACCAUCUGGCUAGAGUCCGGAAGAGGAGAGUGGAGUUCCUGGUGUAGCGGUGAAAUGCGCAGAUAUCAGGAAGAACACCCGUGGCGAAGGCGGCUCUCUGGGACGGUACUGACGCUGAGACGCGAAAGCGUGGGGAGCGAACAGG
rnacentral:rRNA from 1 species